rnacentral:rRNA from 1 species
UACGUAGGGUGCGAGCGUUGUCCGGAAUUAUUGGGCGUAAAGGGCUCGUAGGCGGUCUGUCGCGUCGGGAGUGAAAACUCAGGGCUUAACCCUGAGCCUGCUUCCGAUACGGGCAGACUAGAGGUAUGCAGGGGAGAACGGAAUUCCUGGUGUAGCGGUGAAAUGCGUAGAUAUCUGGAGGAACACCGGUGGCGAAGGCGGCAUCCUGGACCGGCAUUGACGCUGAGGAGCGAAAGCCAGGGGAGCAAAGCGGG